rnacentral:rRNA from 1 species
UGGGGAAUAUUGCACAAUGGGCGCAAGCCUGAUGCAGCCAUGCCGCGUGUGUGAAGAAGGCCUUCGGGUUGUAAAGCACUUUCAGCGAGGAGGAAGGUGGUGAACUUAAUACGUUCAUCAAUUGACGUUACUCGCAGAAGAAGCACCGGCUAACUCCGUGCCAGCAGCCGCGGUAAUACGGAGGGUGCAAGCGUUAAUCGGAAUUACUGGGCGUAAAGCGCACGCAGGCGGUUUGUUAAGUCAGAUGUGAAAUCCCCGGGCUCAACCUGGGAACUGCAUUUGAAACUGGCAAGCUAGAGUCUCGUAGAGGGGGGUAGAAUUCCAGGUGUAGCGGUGAAAUGCGUAGAGAUCUGGAGGAAUACCGGUGGCGAAGGCGGCCCCCUGGACGAAGACUGACGCUCAGGUGCGAAAGCGUGGGGAGCAAACAGAUUAGAUACCCUGGUAGUCCACGCUGUAAACGAUGUCGAUUUUGGAGGUUGUGCCCCUUGAGGCGUGGNUUCCGGAGCUAACGCGUUAAAUCGACCGCC